rnacentral:rRNA from 1 species
UACAGAGGGUGCAAGCGUUGUUCGGAAUUUUUGGGCGUAAAGCGCGCGUAGGCGGCGCGGUAUGUCUUGCGUGAAAUCUCCCGGCUUAACUGGGAGGGGCCGUGCGAAACUGCCGGGCUUGAGGUCGGAAGGGGAAAGUGGAAUUCCGGGUGUAGUGGUGGAAUACGUAGAUAUCCGGAGGAACACCAGCGGCGAAGGCGGCUUUCUGGUCCGAUACUGACGCUGAGGUGCGAAAGCGUGGGGAGCGAUCCGG